rnacentral:tRNA from 2 species
GGUCCUGUAGUUUAACGGUAAAACACCCGGCUUAUACUCGGCAUAGUCUCCAGAUUAGAGAGCGAUCCAGGUUCGAAUCCUGGCGGGACCACCA